CUAUGGGGUGCUAUGGGGCACUAAGAGGCAGCUCUCUAUGGGGCGCUGUGGGGCGCUGUGGGGUGACUGUGUGCCCCAUAGGGAAUGCGGCGCUUUGAGGCCCUAUGGGGCAGGUGUCUAUGGGGCGCUAUGUGGCACUAUGGGGCAGGUCCCUAUGGGGCGCUGUGGGGCGCUGUGGGGUGACUGUGUGCCCCAUAGGGAAUGCGGCGCUUUGAGGCCCUAUGGGGCGCUAUGGGGCAGGUCUCUAUGGGGCGCUAUGGGGCACUAUGGGGCAGGUCUCUAUGGGGCGCUGUGGGGUGACUGUGUGCCCCAUAGGGAAUGCGGCGCUUUGAGGCCCUAUGGGGCGCUGUGGGGCAGGUCUCUAUGGGGCGCUGUGGGGCGCUGUGGGGCGCUGUGGGGUGACUGUGUGCCCCAUAGGGAAUGCGGCGCUUUGAGGCCCUAUGGGGCAGGUCUCUAUGGGGCGCUAUGGGGCACUAAGAGGCAGGUCUCUAUGGGGCGCUGUGGGGCGCUGUGGGGCGCUGUGGGGUGACUGUGUGCCCCAUAGGGAAUGCGGCGCUUUGAGGCCCUAUGGGGCGCUGUGUGGGCAGGUCUCUAUGGGUGCUAUGGGCAGGUCUCAUGGGGCGCUAUGGGGCACUAAGAGGCAGGUCUCUAUGGGGCGCUGUGGGGCGCUGUGGGGCGCUGUGGGGUGACUGUGUGCCCCAUAG
ensembl:lncRNA